rnacentral:rRNA from 1 species
AACGGCCAUACCAUGCUGAAUAUACCGGUUCUCGUUAGAUCACCGAAGUCAAGCAUCAUUGGGCGCGGUCAGUACUCGGUGCGCGGUGGGUGACCACCUGGGGACACCGCGUGCCGUU